AUUGAUAUUUAAACUAUUUUGUAAGGAUAUUCAAUCUAAUUAUGGUAUUAACAAAAUCUAGCAAUCUUCAAAAAAACUUCCCGCUCGCAAAUCUACCUAAGCUUAGCCUCUUAACCUACCAAAGUCAAAAGAUAAUACUUUACUUAUUUAUUGAAUACAGUUUGGUGGUUAUGACAAAAUAGAAAAGCUAAAAAGUACUUAGUACGCUAAAACUAAAUAGAUACCUUUCAUGAACAUAAUAAUAAGAUAAAAAGGCCAAGAAUUCCAAAAAAAGGGGAAAAAGCAAAGAUUAGGAAAACUCAAGGUUUAAAAUAAAAUAACUGUUUACCCUAGAAUUUGAAUGAGCUAUCCUUAAUUUUCCGGCUGAAAAUUGUAUCACACACUGCUCUGGCGGUGGUCGGGGGGCCCUUUAUAUAGGGUUUAAAAGGGGGGAAAAAGGGUAUCUGCGCUGAGAAAAAAAAGGGAGGGGAGGCCUGGUUUGUAUGAGCAAUUAGGGCCUUCUAGAAAAGGGGGGUAAAAAGGGUAUAGAUAAAAAGGGAGGGGAGGCCUAGUUCGUAGGAGCAAUUAGGGUCUUCUAGAAAAAGGGGGGGAAAAAAGGGUAUAGAGCGAAAGGGAGGGGAGGCCUAAUUCGUAGGGAUAAUUAGGGCCUUAUGGCCUAGUUCGUAGGGACAAUUAAGGCCUACUAGAAAGGAGGGGUAGAAAAGGGUAUUGACAAAAAGGGAGGAGGGGGAAGACUUGGCUUACAAUUUAAACAAGUAAUUAGGGUAAUCAACGUUAAUACAUCAGAUAUGAUUACAACAUAAUUAUAGAUUGAACUAGCAAAAUUAGUUCUAAGUGAGCUGAUUUUGAUAAAUCAGAUGUUGAUUGGGCUUGUGAUUUCAUUCCUCUGACAGGUGCACGCCUUCAUCUAUACUGGUUUCACUUCCGCUAUCGCUUGUAUUCUCAUCCUCAAAGUCCAGGAAGAGAGGCUGGAAUAAAAGAACAGAUGAGAUAAAAUUAGAAAUAUAUGUCUAUCCAUAUAGGUAUAUAGGCGUAGACAUAUACAACUGUUGAUAGAUGUUUCUUUUUUUCUACUAAAAAAUGUCCCUCAUGUUAGGUUUAGCUUCUGUUUUGGUUCAUUUAACUAAUGCAACGUGUUUAUUAGGACCUUUCCAGCCAACCAAAAAUGGAGGGAUGGCUCCUGUAUUGACAAAAGAAUCAGAAAAGGUUCAGACAAGAAUGGGUACCAUUUCAGUAGAAAACCCGAAAGAUUUAUCAUGAAAGUGUCAGAAGGAUGAAUGUGAUUGAAAUUCCAAGCCUUAAUAAAACUUGAAAACUAUCCUGAUUGUUCAUUUUGGAGAGAUCUAAGAGUAGAGGAGCUUACUGUCAGGCCUGAUGAAACACUACAUGGUAGAAUAGCUGGUUUACUUUAGGGCAACAUCUGAAGUUGCGAAACAUUCAAUCACAAUUCUUUUAGGGUGUCUGUUUAGCCUAAGAUUUGAAUUGAGAUUAUUAGGAUUUUUCUUCUUUGUAAUUGCCAGAUUGGAAAUUUACGGAGGGUGACAGAGGAAAAUAAUCCUUUAUUAAGAACGUAAAUUUUUUUCUUUUCUGAGAUUUCCUAUUUCAUAAUUCCAUUUAAUUCCUUGGUCCCUUAAUAUCUACCAGAUCAGUAUCCAGAAAGAUUACAAAGGACGAAGAUUUAAUUUAACUUGAAAUUGAGAAUUAAAGCAUGAGUUUCAUUUAUCUUCAUGACCUCUCUGUAAUUACCUUAUUGGAAAGGAGGUGAAGAAUAAAAAAGAUUAUUUGAGAUUUAAAUAUUCAAAGAUUUUAAAGCUGAGCCAUGUGGGGGGCAGCGAGAAAAAGUUCUACGUCUGAGGGGGAGGGGGACAGACUGAGUAGUAUUUUAAAUUUGCUAGAAGCCACAACAUUUAACAGAUUUAAUAAUUUUAAUGCUGAUAGAUGUGCGUUAACUCCUCAGAUUAAUAUUACGGGAUUUAUUGAUGAUAAUUUUGAAAGUAGUCAGGGAGCCUUGAAUCAAGGAUUCGCACUUGAUUCAGAAGGGCUAUUUUGAACCAGACUGUUAAUAUUAAAACAUAAUAAAAAAUCAAGAAAUUUUGGAAAAGAGUAUUACUGCAGAUUUUCCUGAUAAAUUAUCCCUAAAUUUUGAAUAUUUUGAAAACGGCGGAAAUAAAAAAAAAUACACAUUUUUUAUUAUUUUUAUAAGAAAAACU
rnacentral:lncRNA from 1 species